UACGUAGGGUGCAAGCGUUAAUCGGAAUACUGGGCGUAAAGCGUGCGCAGGCGGCUUUGCAAGACAGAUGUGAAAUCCCCGGGCUUAACCUGGGAACUGCAUUUGUGACUGCAUGGCUAGAGUGCGGCAGAGGGGGGAUGGAAUUCCGCGUGUAGAGGUGAAAAUUCGUAGAUAUUAGGAAGAACACCGGUGGCGAAGGCGGCC
rnacentral:rRNA from 1 species